UCAGCAGUCAAGAAUAUUAGUCAAUGCUCGAAAGAGUGAACUAGCUAACUGAAAUCAAUAAAAAUAAUUGAUAACAUAAGGGAAAAUAAUGAUAUUACCUUAUUAUUAGUGUCGUCCAAAACUGGUGCCAGAAGACUCGGUAAGGCCAGAGACACAAACGUUAAUCGUCUUAAUCAGGCGUAAAGGGUUUGUAGGCGGCUUUAAAAUUUACUUAAAAAAAUAAAAAAAAAUAAUAAGUAAAAAAUAAAAGCUAGAAUCAAAUAGAGGAUAUAUGAAAGAAUGCUUAGAGUAGGUCUGAUAUCUUUAGAUACUAAGUAGAAUAUUAAAGGCGAAAGCUUUUUUCCAUUAAUGAUUGACGCUAAGAAACGAAGGUGAGGAUAGGAAAUAGGAUUAGAUACCCAGAAUACCCCUCUCUGUCAACGAUGAAUGGUAGUUAUUAGUAAAAAUAUAUUAAUGACAAUGUUAACACGAUAACCAUUCCGCCUUGUGAGUACAACUGCAAAGUUGAAAACAAAAAAAUUAGUCGGUUUCGGAGCAAACGAAGUGAAGCAUGUUAUUUAAUUCGAUAAUCCGCAAA
rnacentral:rRNA from 1 species